UCUCCGUUGGUGAACCAGCGGAGGGAUCAUUACCGAGUUUACAACUCCCAAACCCAAUGUGAACGUUACCAAACUGUUGCCUCGGCGGGAUCUCUGCCCCGGGUGCGUCGCAGCCCCGGACCAAGGCGCCCGCCGGAGGACCAACCAAAACUCUUUAUGUAUACCCCCUCGCGGGUUUUUUUACAAUCUGAGCCAUCUCGGCGCCCCUCGUGGGCGUUUCGAAAAUGAAUCAAAACUUUCAACAACGGAUCCCUUGGUUCUG
rnacentral:misc_RNA from 1 species